ACUCUUCUUUAUUUUUCCAUUGUUUUUAUCUUGUAGACAGAUGGGAAGUGUUCUAGGGGCAGGACCAUCUUUGUGGUUUUUAGUUCAGUUUUCCCACUGGAACGAUUGCCCUUCUGUGGUGUGCUAGUGAGAAGGUUGGACUAUGCAGCUGUAAAACAAGACAUGCAGAGAGGUGUUUGCAGCCUUAAGGGUCAUUGCAAACAUGGAACUGGAAAAUAAAAGAAAUCUCUUAUUUCUGCGAA